AUGAACUAAUAUUUUUUGCCAGUUUCCCCAUUGCAGUUUACAUCUCAACAUUUCAUCCAAUUUUAUGUUAAAUCAUUAAAAAAAGAUUUGGAAAAAAAAAAAAAAAAAAAGAUAACACAAAACUCAGUUUUUUUUCCUUCCCCCUCCCCUCUGGUUUUUUUCUCCCCCUCCUCCUCUGCCCGAUGCUUUUCCUGAGGCAAACCAUCCCCACCCCCCACUCACCUCCUCCCACCUCCUUCUCCCUCUCUCGUCGCCCUAUUCGCUUAGGCUUUAGGAUUUUGAUCUUCUUUUUUGUUUUUCUUCCUUUUGUUCUCUACAAAGUGUGUCUCCCUCUCUCUCUUCUCUCUUCCCCCUUCUCUCUCUCUUCACAGACAUCAGCACCACCCACCCUUCACCCGCCCCCUCCUCCUUCUGUCUCCCUCUUUCUUCGACAUCCACAACCUCACUUCCCAGAACACCCAAACAGUCACCCAAAAAAAAAAUUAUUCAAGAUCAAAUCCCUAAAUAGCCAUCCAAAAAAUUUCAAGAUCCUUAUUAUUAACCUCACCUUACUCCCUAGGAAACCCAAAUAGCCAAACAGCCACCAAAGAUAAAAAAAAAUUCAAGAUCCAAAUCCUAAACAGCCACCCAAAAAAUCUCGAGAUAUUUAUUAUUAAAUUUAGUUUUCCUCUUCGUAACCUUGGCAGGGGAAGAGAGAGACGCAAAAAGAGAGUGGGAGGGAGAAAAAGGAGGGGGUGGGCACAUGGGGGGAGAAGAGACAGAGGGUGGAGGAUGGUGAUGUUGGUGGAUGUUGAAGAGGAGGGAGAAAGAGAUCGAAGAGAGGGUGGUGAUUUUGGUGGCUGUCAAACAGAGGGUGAAUAUAUCAUUAUUAUUUCAAUUUUUAAUUUUUUUAAUUUUUAAUCCUAUAUUUAUUAUUUUUAAUGUUUGAAAUGACUCUCAUAUUUA
rnacentral:lncRNA from 1 species